GCAUAAGGCCGACCCCGGCAACCUCGGGACGAACCCUAGCACAUUUCCCUUCCUCUCCUCGAGCCGCUUUAUUCUCCACAACGCGGACCUGAACAUAGCCGUCGCCAUGGCCAAGCUCUUCACCGCGACUAUGAUCGUUCCCGGCACCUGAGGAGGUGUCCAUCAACUUCCUCGCAGUCGACUAUGUCAACUAUGCCCUCAGGAACGAGCUCCUCGCCCGACAGCGCCCGGAUCCAGCCCGUCUUCGAUCUCCAAUCACCGUCGUUCGACGCAUCGAUCCACUCCGUCCUGCUGCUCCUAAGCCCUCAACGGCCUUUCUUGCGCCUCUCGGUGAGCCUUCUCCUUUCCCCAGCUUUCCCCCUUCCUUCCCUUGCCGUAGGUCGCCGUUGCCGGAGCUCCACUCGUCGUUCACCCUUGUCCGCGCUCGCCGUGUUCCGCGACCGCGCCCUGCCUCGUUUGGCCGCGCCCAACCGUGGCCAGCUCGUGCCCGUUGCGUGCCCUACCCCGCCACCGUCCGCGGCCACCGUGCCCGCGCGCCUCACUCGCUGGGCGCCCUGGCCUCACGCCACGCUGACGCACUGCCCUCGCGCAGCCCCGCACCCGCGCAAGGCCUUGCCGUGCCCGAGCGCGCCCGCACUGCUGUGCACCCCGCUGCGCCCUGCCGUGCAUCGGUCGCGCUCGUGUAGCCCUGCCACCGCAGCGCCCGCGCCCACCAGCGGCUGCCUCUACCCACCCCACGCCGCCUUCACUGCUCGCUGCGCCGCACCACGCUUGGCCGCGCCCCGCGCCUGCGUCGCCCAAUCUUUGGCCGGCCGCUGCGCCUUUGCUCGCGUCGCCCAAUCUUUGGCCGGCCGCUGCGCCUUUGCUCGCGUCGCCAUCCCCUGACGCUGCCUGUCCUCCUUGUGCUGCUCUGCUUGCUGCGUCGCUGCUCUACUACUGCUGCCGCUUAGUUGUUGCUGUUGCACCGUCGUCACUGCUGCUGCUGACCACACGCGCGUGUGCCCGCUGCCUCUCGGCCGCCGGCGUGCUGCUCCCGCUCGCCUGAUGUUGCUUGCUACCACGGCGUUGUUGCCGCAUCCUACUACUAUGUACUUCUAGUUGCUGCCUCCUACUAGCUAGCUUUUGUAUUUCUACAAUGACUAGCCUUCUAAACUGCCACUAAACAGCGAUAAGACAAGUCCUAACAUGAGUAAAAAUUAUAUAAACGGAAAGUAGACGUAAUAAGCCUCAUUUUGUUCCAUUGGACCUGUUUCAUAUAAUGCAUGGAUUAAAUCCUACAAAAAUCACAAAAUGCUAUCUUGUGUUAAAAGGAAUAGAGUUACUCCCUAGCAUAGUGUGUGUACGUGAGUGCGUAGUGUAUAGGCACCACAGCCGUGUGUGGCCGGCUAUGCCACAGCCUGGCCAGCCUUUUAGUUAGUUUAUAAUUAGUAGUACUAGUCGUGAACCCGUGCAUUUGCACGGGCUAGUAUAUGGAAUAUUGAUGAAUUGCUAUGGUUUUGGUUCAUUGUUGUUAUUUUGACUAUUGCAUGCUUCAAAAUUCUUCCUUUUUCUCAUAGUGAUUUGUCUACAAUGCCAUGUUUUUAUAUUUAAAAUCAAAUCAACAUAAUUCCCAUCUAUUUUUUUCUAGUUUUAAUAUAACUUUAGAGUUUUAUUUUAUUUAUGUUUCAAGUGCAUUAUUGUGCAUGUCUUAAUAUGUGUCAUUUUUGUUCGCAUACUUGAAAGUGUAAAUUCACGUAAGACUUCCAAAAAAGGUAAUAUCUAACUAUGCAUGACUUUAUAAAUAUUCAAGAGAAAUAUACCAAUCCUUUGUCUGUGUGACACCGUAAAGUAGAUUUCUAAACAAUAUCUCCCGGUCGAACUUCCCUUUGAUUUAAAACGCAACUUGAAACAUUGAUACAACUCCCAAGACAUUCCUAAAUUUGUGCUUUACUCAUAGAUCAUAAUCUAAUAUCUUUUUACGGGUCUUAAUUGCUCCUUCGUAAGGCAUCACAUUUAAUUGUUACCAUAUGCACCAUUUUAAAAGAUGCAUAGAGGAAAAUCAUCAGAUACCCUCGAAGAAAAAAGGUAUCAACUUAAUAUGGGGCUAUUUAUUUUCUUUACUGUCAGCGUGAUUAAGUCAAGCCUUUUUUCCAAUAUGUACAACCUAUUUAGAUAUAUUGUACUAUUAUUUUUAUAUAGAGAGCGACCAUGAUUAAGUUGUACAGACACCUCAACAAUUAAUGUAAAAAGAUCAAUUAGCCAGCAUCGUUCCUUGCUAAUAACCUCUACUGUUAUGUUUGUCCAUGUAUGCAUGUGCCCUAGAUCAAAGCAUUCAAACUGUGCGGAACGUUAUUUUAUAUUUAUCAUUAUUUCUACUUACAAAACAAAAUAAGUGUUGGAAACUAUAGCUUCCAGUUCCCCCAAUAUCUGAUUGUUUCUGGAUUUUUUUUUUCAAAACUGUAUAUGACCCAAAAAACACGCUCAAUGUUUUUCGAAACGAAACAUCGCAUAGAUCUGAAUUUUGCAUAACACGCCGUUUUCAAGAGAAUAUAUAAUUUAUUUGUAUUUGUUCAAAGAAUCAUAGAGCAUCGUGUUGGUACGUAGCCAUUGUUACUCCUGUUUAUAUAAGAUAAAAGACGAAAAAAACUAUAAUCAGAAUAUAUUAAGACAUCCACCAAACAGCAACUAAACUGAGUUUAAACACUGAUUGUUUCUUCUCAAAGAGAAUCAAAACGUCUGGUAAGAAAAAUAUUGAGGGGAUCAUUGGUUCCUUCGAGGAAGAAGAACGUACUACAGCUGAACCGCAACAAAGGCAUGGUUCAGUCCUAGCGGUGAAAGGAAUUAAGCCUGAAGCAACAUCUUGGCUGCAUAGGAUUAAUUAAUUAAGAUCCAAUCUCUAGAACACAUAACGGCGUAAGCAUCUACCGCUUCGUCAGCUCUCAUCCGUCCGUUGUCCUUCUCUCCUUCAUGUACAACAUGCUCGCAAUUUCCGUUGUCAUGAACUCCUGCAGUCCUGGUUCCCCUCUUCAAUCUGCAUGCGUUGCCGCUGAUGGCCGUUCUGUUGUGUCACUGGGAACAGCUGGUUAGCUCCCACCAGAGACAUGUCAAGCAUGAUCGGGCCAACUUCGCAUGCCAUAACAGCCCGUGUCGCGAUUGGGACUUGGAACGACAACAUAUCCUAAUUCUUCACUUCUUCUACAGCGGCAGCAUUCUAUCCGAGCCACCACCUGAGAAUCAUCUACCAGCACUGAAAAGAAAAUGUGACUAAAUUUUAAUUCAAAUGGACAUUUGAGAUCUCAUUAUGGAGUAGACCUAAAAUAGAGGGAAAAGAGCUCAACAGAUUGGAAGUAACCGAUAGCAAUUGAACCGAGAAAAGUGCGGCAUACAUGAUACAUGUGCACAUGCUGUUGAACAAUACCACACUGAUGCGUUACUGCAGUAACAUGAGGCAGCUAUACUGCUUGGGAUGUUUGCCAUCGGCUACGAUGAAGAUUUUGUUGCUUGUAGGGAUAGUCAAAUAUGAGUGGACUGUUGAGUGGCCAGGCAUGGUUUGGGUGGACUUGGUGUCAGCCUGCACUACCUGAUGGAGAAGACACACAACCAUGGAAAAACCGUUGAUUAGAAACUGCACGUUACAACAAAGGUUUUAAUGUUGUAGCAUAAAUGUAUUAAUCUAUAGUACUUAGAGUAGUAACUUUCCAACCAAGUACAUAUCGGCAUAGAAAUUAAACAGAGAGAAUACUGCAGUAAUUACACUAACAGGCGGCGAGAACACGUUGAUCUCCGCAUCUCGCCUCCUCCUUUUUGCGCACCGUCGUAGGUACAAUGGAACUGCAAGCGGCUGCUCUCCUUUCUGUCCUCCUCAUGCUGUUCGCCUUUGAAGCAGCACCUCGCCACAAGUACAAUGCUCAUUGGCGCCAUCGCAUGGUGCUACGCUGCCUCGCACUGCAACUGCCCAAACCUGUGAGAGUUAAACUCCUUUGAAAAGGACUAUUCACAGCUUUUCACACAAACAUAUACUACAACUCCACAUUUAUUUUGUACCUUCUAAUAUGUUUUUCCAAACAACGAAAAUCAGACCACACAUGAUAUCUAGAGGAAAUGUCUACAACCUUCGUGCUUUCAAAAUAAUAUGUUCUUGCUCAAAACUGCAGCACCGACAUCAGAUCUUUGCUCGUAGCAAACUUAAAUCAGUAAUAUAUUCGCAAUUAUUACAGUUUAAUCCUAGUUUUACAAUUACCUUUACUUAGCACCAGUCGAUCUAUCUAUUUUCUAACUAAUGACGAAUUAAGGUUUACCUUCCAUGGAAAGAUCACAAAUUGUUUAUAAAGCUCAAGGAUUCUCCUUCCAUGGUGUGUGACUGACCACAUGCAGGACAGGCAGCCAGCAGGUUGACGGCUGGAGCAGCAAUACCAUCGUAAUAGCUGAGGACCUCAUAACGGUAGAACUUAGUGGCGGACAGUUACCAGCAGCAGCAUCCCGCGGGCAGGGUGCAGUGCAUCCAUGUUUCCUGGAAUCAAACGGAUGCAAGUAAGGGCUGCCGGAUCGAACUUGUCCCCGCUAGAUUGAAAUUUUCAGAUCGCUAGACCGAGAUGGAGGCGACGAUCAGGGGUUCCUUUUGUAGAUAAGCAUGGUAAAAGAAAGAAAGAAUAACCGAGAAACGUGAUUGUCCCUUUAUUUCUUCUGCAGAGAUAGAAAGUCAAUUAAACGUAAGAGAGUUUUUUAAGGGAAAAAAACUCAGUUAAUAGUUUGGGGUCGUGACAUCUCUUUUUCUAAUCUAUUGCUCUUCUUCAAUCA